ACUCCUACGGGAGGCAGCAGUGGGGAAUCUUGGACAAUGGGGGCAACCCUGAUCCAGCCAUGCCGCGUGAGUGAUGAAGGCCUUAGGGUCGUAAAGCUCUUUCGCCAGGGAUGAUAAUGACAGUACCUGGUAAAGAAACCCCGGCUAACUCCGUGCCAGCAGCCGCGGUAAUACGGAGGGGGUUAGCGUUGUUCGGAAUUACUGGGGCGUAAAGCGCGCGUAGGCGGACCAGAAAGUUGGGGGUGAAAUCCCCGGGGCUCAACCCCGGAACUGCCUCCAAAACUCCUGGUCUUGAGUUCGAGAGAGGUGAGUGGAAUUCCGAGUGUAGAGGUGAAAUUCGUAGAUAUUCGGAGGAACACCAGUGGCGAAGGCGGCUCACUGGCUCGAUACUGACGCUGAGGUGCGAAAGUGUGGGGAGCAAACAGGAUUAGAUACCCUGGUAGGAUAGCG
rnacentral:rRNA from 1 species